GGAAACAGGUGCUAAUACCGGAUAAUAAAGCAGAUCGCAUGAUCAGCUUUUGAAAGGCGGCGUAAGCUGUCGCUAAGGGAUGGCCCCGCGGUGCAUUAGCUAGUUGGUAAGGUAACGGCUUACCAAGGCGACGAUGCAUAGCCGAGUUGAGAGACUGAUCGGCCACAUUGGGACUGAGACACGGCCCAAACUCCUACGGGAGGCAGCAGUAGGGAAUCUUCCACAAUGGACGCAAGUCUGAUGGAGCAACGCCGCGUGAGUGAAGAAGGUUUUCGGAUCGUAAAGCUCUGUUGUUGGUGAAGAAGGAUAGAGGUAGUAACUGGCCUUUAUUUGACGGUAAUCAACCAGAAAGUCACGGCUAACUACGUGCCAGCAGCCGCGGUAAUACG
rnacentral:rRNA from 1 species